UACGGAGGGUGCAAGCGUUACCCGGAAUCACUGGGCGUAAAGGGCGUGUAGGCGGUAAAGCAAGUCCGGUUUUAAAGACCCCAGCUCAACUGGGGAAGAGGAUUGGAAACUGCUUAGCUAGACCUCUGGAGAGAGAACGGGAAUUCCUGGUGUAGCGGUGGAAUGCGUAGAUACCAGGAGGAACACCAAUGGCGAAGGCAGGUUCUUGGACAGAAGGUGACGCUGAGGCGCGAAAGUGUGGGGAGCGAACCGG
rnacentral:rRNA from 1 species